CUCCGCAGCGCGCGGCCCAACUUGGCGUCCCGGCAACUCGCGCGGCGGCGCCCGGCCUCUCACCUUGAAGGGGACGCGGGGAGGCGGGCGCGGGGGCCCAGCCCCGGCCCUCCGCGUGCCCGCCCGUCCGCCUGCCGCACACAAAGCAGAGCCCGGAGAGAAGGAGCGGCCCGAGCGGGUCGCACCGCUGGACCCGGCGCCCCGUGCGCCCCUCGCACCCAGCAUCAGCCCCGCGCGCCAACUUACCUCGCGAAGGGAGCAGCCGCAGCGCCCGCUCCCUGGGGGAUUGUUUUCUAUGAUGCCUUCUCAAGGAGUUCAACAAAGACUUGACCAAUAGACUGAUUGAUCCACUGCAGAGCCUCUACACAUGGAGAACCAUGCUGGGUUAUCCUGUAAUAUGAGAUGGAGAAAUAAUACAGUGGGCUUUCAGGAAGCGAGAGGGCAUAUGAAAAAACCAUCCAUCUGGUAGCUUGGAUAAAGCUAAAUUGGACAGAGCACAAUGGUAUAAGUAAGAAGAAGGAUUCGGAUUCCACUAAGAGUACCAACAGGAUGAAGGAACUACAAAUAUACUGACUUGGCCAUAAGCUCACAGUGAUGAUAGUAUCAUGUUUAAUUGUCAAAUGAGGAAAUAAUGCCCAAAAGGAACUAAGUACCUUGGCCUUAGUCAUUUUACCGGGAUUUUCUCUAAGGAAAUGAACAUGUUUUUAUUAUUUUUUGUUGAGAUAGAAUUCAUAUACCAUGAAAUUCACCUUUUGAAGUGUACAAUUCAGUGGUUUUAGUAUAUUCACAAAGAAGUGCAACCAUAACCACUAUAUAAGUCCCUAACUCCAGAGUAUUCUCAUCACCCCAAAAAGAAUCUUCAUAUUCAUUAGCAGUCACUCCUCAUUCCUCCCUCUCUCAGACCCUGGCAACCACUGAUGUGCUUUAUGUAUCUACCAAUUUGCCUUUUCUGGCCAUUUUGUAGAAAUAGGAUCAUAUAGUAUGUGGCCUUUUGUGUCUGGCUUCUUUUACUUAGCAUAAUGUAUCAAAUCUAUAAUGUAGCAUAAAUCAGUUUUUUAUUCCUUUUUUGACCCAGUAAUACCCCAUUGUAUGGCUAUAUUACAUUUUGUUUAUCCAUUCAUCAGUUAAUGGAAGCUAUGAUUGUUUCUACUUUUUGGCUAUUAUGAAUAAAGUUACUAUAAACAUCAGUGUACAAGUUUCUGGGUGGACAUAUUGUUUGUUAUCUUGGGUAUAUACGUAGGAGUAAAAUUGCUGAAAGGGUGUUGGAUUUUGUCAAUGCUUUCUCUGCAUCUUUUGAGAUGAAUAUGUGGCUUUGUCCU